rnacentral:tRNA from 1 species
AUUUUCCUAGUAUAAGUGUUAUUAUAAGUGACUUCCAAUCACCUGGCCUUGGUUAAACCCCAAGGGAAAAUA